UUCUGACACUAAUGCAUUUCAAACAUCAGAGGUGUGUGAGCAAUACGAGAGGAUGAAGAGUGAGACACAUCUUAGAGAGAGGAAGAGGAGAAAACCUGGUUGGCGUUCAUGCAGGGUUGAGCCUCUGGGAGGAAGUGACUCAAGCAGCGGAAUUAAAGGGCCAAGACAAUAACCUCAAAGAUUUGGAGGUCGGUGGCCUCUAACCAUUAUUUGGAGCUUGGGCAGAUCCUCAGCGGAGCUCCGAUCAAUCUUUUACCUGGGGAACGAGUGCUGCGUAUUUCUAUCACCAUUCUAUUGAUUUUUCCAUGCGCAGAGCCCUUAUGUGAGAGAGAGAGGUGUUUUCAUGUGGACACCACAGAGAAAACGCAGCCUGCAGCACACACACACUCAUUUAUUUAUGCUUGCAGACGCCCGUUGGCACAGACGACUGCAAAAUGCACACAUCGGCAUAUUUAGCCGAUUUUCUGAUCUCACAUGCACAAGUCCAAAAGGCCUAACAUAUGAGCAGAAACUUUUAAAUUCAGAAAGUGAAUGCCCUUUCUUUCAUUCACUUCUUGUCUAACGGAUUCACUUGUGCGUUGUGGUGAUUUUCUGUUACACUCUCUGCUAGUGUUUUC